AACGAACGCUGGCGGCAUGCCUAACACAUGCAAGUCGAACGGGAUCCUAGCUUGCUAGGUGAGAGUGGCGGACGGGUGAGUAACACGUGGGAAUCUGCCUUUUGGUUCGGGAUAACCGCGGAAACUGCGGCUAAUACCGAAUGCCCUCGAGAGAGGAAAGAUUUAUCGCCAGAAGAGGAGCCCGGCGUCCGAUUAGGUAGUUGGUGGGGUAAAGGCUACCAAGCCGACGAUCGGUAGCUGGUCUGAGAGGAUGAUCAGCCACACUGGGACUGAGAUACGGCCCAGACUCCUACGGGAGGCAGCAGUGGGAAUA
rnacentral:rRNA from 1 species